GACGAACGCUGGCGGCGUGCUUAACACAUGCAAGUCGAACGGAAAGGCCCUGCGUUUGUGUGUUGCUCGAUUGGCGAACGGGUGAGUAACACGUGAGUAACCUGCCCUUGACUUUGGGAUAACUUCAGGAAACUGGGGCUAAUACCGGAUAGGAGCUCCUGCUGCAUGUGGGUGGUUGGAAAGUUUCGGCGGUGGGGGCUGUACUCGCGGCUUAUCAGCUUGUUUGUGUGGUAGUUGCUUACCAAGGCUUUGACGGGUAGCCGGCCUGAGAGGGUUACCGGCCACCUUGGGACUGCGAUACGCACCAGAAUGCUACGGGAGGCAGUAGUGGGGAACCUUGCACAAUGGGCGGAAGCCUGAUGCAGAAACGCCGCGUGCGGGAUGCCGGCUUUCGGGUUGUAAACAGCUUUCGCAUGUGACGAAGAGUGCGUGACGGUAAUGGGUAAAGAAGCACCGGCUAACUACGUG
rnacentral:rRNA from 1 species